GAUGAACGCUGGCGGCGUGCCUAAUACAUGCAAGUCGAGCGAACAGACGAGGAGCUUGCUCCUCUGACGUUAGCGGCGGACGGGUGAGUAACACGUGGAUAACCUACCUAUAAGACUGGGAUAACUUCGGGAAACCGGAGCUAAUACCGGAUAAUAUAUUGAACCGCAUGGUUCAAUAGUGAAAGACGGUCUUGCUGUCACUUAUAGAUGGAUCCGCGCCGCAUUAGCUAGUUGGUAAGGUAACGGCUUACCAAGGCAACGAUGCAUAGCCGACCUGAGAGGGUGACCGGCCAACCGGGAACGGAGACAGGGGCCGGACUCCUACGGGAGGCAGCAGUGGGGAAUCUUCGGAAAGGGGCGAAGGCCGGACGAGGCAAGGCGGCGGGAUGGAGGAGGGUCUUGGGAUCGUAAAAUCCGGUUAUUGGGGAAGAACAAAGGGGUAAGUAACGAUGAACGUUUGGACGGUACCAAAUCAGAAAGCACGGGCUACCUCGGU
rnacentral:rRNA from 1 species